UGAUACUGUACAGAGGAAACGGAUCGCAUUUCCCUUGUAUGUUUUUUUCCUUAUUUUCUGGACGUGCAAUUGUGUAUUUAUUUCCCAGAAUUUUCUGGGAAAUGUUGCUCUAGAGAUAGUGUGGAUGAGUAUUUGUAAACUGGAGAGAAUUCAGAACACGUAAUAACAAGGAUUAAGGAAUAUCAUUGACUAAGUUGGGAGUUGUGUGCCUCGCCAUUAAACAGAGUCAGAAAUAUGUAGCAGUGACACAAGAUGUAUGUGGUGCGUGUUUUAUGUUUUCUGUGGAGUGUUCAAAUCGUUUAUGGACAACUUCAAUUAUUAAUGAGUUUCCCCCAGUGCAAAUGGGCUAACGAGGAGUGUUCGACUGACGCAGGGUGCUGUAGUCAAAAAUGUAUUCAGAAGAACCCGGGGACGACUAAGCGGUGUAGUCAGAGCAGCCUCGGGGGACAUUGUCUGUACAGGUACCACUGUGAGAACUACCUGAUGUGUGGGGACAAGAAGCAGUGCUGCGCUCAGUACUGGGAGACGUGCUCAAAACACGAACACUGCUGUGACCCCGAGCAUAGGUGUGUCCGCGCGGAUGGAUUCGUAUACAAGAACUGCCUGUAUCAGUCCCCCGGUGGGGCGGGAAUAAUGAGAUUAUCUCCCUUUUUAAUUAUGUUAAUUUUGUACAAUAUCUUUGAACAAUAAAAUGGAAUUUGCUGAAAUGUACAGUCAUAUUUUGAUUUUUUUCUAUGCAAGAUGUUGACUAUUAUAAAUUAUACUUCAAGCUGAGAGGAUGUGUUCUGAAUUCAUCAAUCCUUGCUGAAUCAAUAUUUAUUGGGAUAUUAAAUUGUAAUAAAGGAA